CUCUGUCCACAGUUCUCACAAGAUGGCACCAGGUACAGAAGGUGACACUGGCCAUGUGGGCACUGUGCCCUGGUGUGUGGGCAUAAGCUCCCUGUGGCCUGAGGAC
ensembl:snoRNA